AGCUUUGCACAGUGACAGUGUCGCGUGCAAUGACGUUUUGCGGAGCAGCGACUAUUGCUAGUUGAAACCCUCAGUGCAACGUCCCUGGCAGGUAAUGUGUGACCACAUGUGUGCCACAUUUUCUACCAAAA
rnacentral:snRNA from 1 species